rnacentral:rRNA from 1 species
UACGUAGGGUGCAAGCGUUGUCCGGAAUUAUUGGGCGUAAAGAGCUCGUAGGCGGUCUGGCGCGUCGAAUGUGAAAACCCGGGGCUCAACCCCGGGCCUGCAUUCGAUACGGGCAGACUAGAGUUCGGUAGGGGAGUCUGGAAUUCCUGGUGUAGCGGUGAAAUGCGCAGAUAUCAGGAGGAACACCGGUGGCGAAGGCGGGUCUCUGGGACGGUACUGACGCUGAGACGCGAAAGCGUGGGGAGCGAACAGG